rnacentral:rRNA from 1 species
UACGAAGGGGGCUAGCGUUGCUCGGAAUCACUGGGCGUAAAGGGUGCGUAGGCGGGUCUUAAGUCAGGGGUGAAAUCCUGGAGCUCAACUCCAGAACUGCCUUUGAUACUGAGGAUCUUGAGUUCGGGAGAGGUGAGUGGAACUGCGAGUGUAGAGGUGAAAUUCGUAGAUAUUCGCAAGAACACCAGUGGCGAAGGCGGCUCACUGGCCCGAUACUGACGCUGAGGCACGAAAGCGUGGGGAGCCAAACAGG